CUUCCCGGCUGUCCCUGCACUCCGUGGCGGAAGGCGGCUAGAGCGGCUCCCUCUGAGCUCUCCGAGAGAUUGGUCGGGACCUGAAGCGUUGAGGUUAAGGGCAAGGCAAGGAGCAACGAGGAGUUUUUCGUUACGUUAGAAAAAUUUCGUUGCGUGCUGAAGCGCUUUUACCUGUGUUGUAUGAUUUAACCUUAUGAAAAUGGACAGUAUUCCAGUUUUACAAGUGAGGAAAGAAGAUUAAGAAACUUGCCUCCGCCAGGCGUGGUGGUUCACUCCUGUAAUCCCAGCACUUUCGGCGGCGAGGCAGGCGGAUCACUUGAGGUCAGGAGUUCGAGACCAGCCUGGCCAACAUGGUGAAACCCCGGCUCUACUAAAAAUGCAAAAAUUAGCCGGGCGUAGUGGCACGCGCCUGUAAUCCCAGCUACUCUGGAGGCUGAGGCAGGAGAAUCGCUUGAACCUAGGAGGCGGAGGUUGCAGUGAGCCGAGAUCGCGCCACUACACUCCAGCCUGGGCGACAGCGCGAGACUCCGUCUCAAAAAAAAGAAACUUGCCUUGAGUCCUACAUAUAGUUUGCUGUAGUAGCAGAAUUUGAACUCGGACCGACUAAUGGUCUACUUAAUAAAAUGCUAUUUGGAUUCUCUAUAAAAUUAAUAAUAUAGAAGUAAUGUUAAUUAUAGAAAACUUGGAAAAUAUUAAAUUCAUUCGAUAAAGA
rnacentral:lncRNA from 10 species